GGGCCAGCAAGUGGUGCAGAGCUGAAGGAACUCUGUUCUUGCAGGAGAAAGGGGCAAUGGUUUUCACUUUUCUCAGUGUGACCAAGAUGCUUGUUCCAACAUUGUACCGAACGAUUCGCUUUACUCUGUGGUUCUAAGACAUUUCUGCCCAUCGCGCUGGGUAGGGUGUGGUACAGCUGCUCACGUCAGAGCCUCAGGAAGCAAAGCAAGGCAGCGACAGGAAAGGGAGAGGACAAGACAGAGACCCCAGGAAUAUAUCUCACGUGGCAUGUUUCCACGUUCUGCCACUUCCCAAGAGUCUGCUCAGAUUCCGAUUCAGGAAUGGAUUAACCCAUCCAUUAUGUCAGCCUUCAGGGACACACUCGGAGGGUACUUUACUCCUCUUGGUAUUUCUCAAGAUGGUGUCAAAAUUAAUUCCUAGAACGUUGGUUUAAUAUUGUUCCCUGUUGUUUAAACACCUAAGACUCAGAAAUUAAAUUUUUGUUGGCUUCAGAGUUUUGGGAGCUAAGGUGUGGGUCUGUGGUAAAACAUCUGGCCUGGGGGCUAAGGGGAUUUACUUGUUCUGUUUGUAUUUUAUGGAAUAAAGCAACGUCCUG
rnacentral:lncRNA from 1 species